rnacentral:miRNA from 10 species
CGGGCGGAGCCACCGCAAGUGCAGAUCUUGGUGGUAGUAGCACAUAUUCUAACCAGAACUUCAAAGGCCGAAGUGGAGAAGGGUUCCAUGUG